AACGAACGCUGGCGGCGUGCCUAACACAUGCAAGUCGCGCGAGAAAGUGGGGGCAACUCCACGAGUAAAGCGGCGCACGGGUGAGUAAUACGUAGGUAACCUACCUCCGAGACCGGGAUAACCUUCCGAAAGGAGGGCUAAUACCGGAUGAGACCACGGAGUUUCGGCUCUGGGGUCAAAGGUGGCCUCUGCUCGCAAGCUACCACUCGAAGAUGGGCCUGCGCACCAUUAGCUAGUUGGCGAGGUAACGGCUUACCAAGGCGAAGAUGGUUAGCUGAUCUGAGAGGAUGAUCAGCCACACUGGGACUGAGACACGGCCCAGACUCCUACGGGAGGCAGCAGUGGGGAAUCUUGGACAAUGGGGGAAACCCUGAUCCAGCGACGCCGCGUGGGUGAUGAAGGCCUUCGGGUCGUAAAGCCCUGUCGGGGGGGAAGAAACUCCUGCCGGUAAACAACCGGCGAGACUGACGGUACCCCCUAAGGAAGCACCGGCUAACUCCGUGCCAGCCGCCGCUGUAAAAC
rnacentral:rRNA from 1 species